rnacentral:rRNA from 1 species
GUAGUCAUAUGCUUGUCUCAAAGAUUAAGCCAUGCAUGUCUAAGUAUAAGCAAUUAUACCGUGAAACUGCGAAUGGCUCAUUAAAUCAGUUAUCGUUUAUUUGAUAAUACCUUACUACUUGGAUAACCGUGGUAAUUCUAGAGCUAAUACAUGCUGAAAAUCCCGACUUCGGAAGGGAUGUGUUUAUUAGAUAAAAAACCAAUGCCCUUCGGGGCUUUUUGGUGAUUCAUGAUAACUUUACGGAUCGCAUAGCCUUGCGCUGGCGACGGUUCAUUCAAAUUUCUGCCCUAUCAACUUUCGAUGGUAAGGUAUUGGCUUACCAUGGUUUCAACGGGUAACGGGGAAUUAGGGUUCGAUUCCGGAGAGGGAGCCUGAGAAACGGCUACCACAUCCAAGGAAGGCAGCAGGCGCGCAAAUUACCCAAUCCCGACACGGGGAGGUAGUGACAAUAAAUACUGAUACAGGGCUCUUUUGGGUCUUGUAAUUGGAAUGAGUACAAUUUAAACCUCUUAACGAGGAACAAUUGGAGGGCAAGUCUGGUGCCAGCAGCCGCGGUAAUUCCAGCUCCAAUAGCGUAUAUUAAAGUUGUUGCAGUUAAAAAGCUCGUAGUUGAAACUUGGGCCUGGCUGGCGGGUCCGCCUCACCGCGUGCACUCGUCCGGCCGGGCCUUCCUUCUGAAGAACCUCAUGCCCUUCACUGGGCGUGCUGGGGAAUCAGGACUUUUACUUUGAAAAAAUUAGAGUGUUCAAAGCAGGCCUUUGCUCGAAUACGUUAGCAUGGAAUAAUAAAAUAGGGCGUGCGUUUCUAUUUUGUUGGUUUCUAGAGACGCCGCAAUGAUUAACAGGAACAGUCGGGGGCAUCAGUAUUCAGUUGUCAGAGGUGAAAUUCUUGGAUUUACUGAAGACUAACUACUGCGAAAGCAUUUGCCAAGGAUGUUUUCAUUAAUCAGUGAACGAAAGUUAGGGGAUCGAAGACGAUCAGAUACCGUCGUAGUCUUAACCGUAAACUAUGCCGACUAGGGAUCGGGCGAUGUUCUUUUUCUGACUCGCUCGGCACCUUACGAGAAAUCAAAGUUUUUGGGUUCUGGGGGGAUUAUGGUCGCAAGGCUGAAACUUAAAGGAAUUGACGGAAG